UAAUACGGAGGGUGCAAGCGUUGUCCGGAUUUAUUGGGUUUAAAGGGUGCGUAGGCGGUCUGAUAAGUCAGUGGUGAAAGUCUUCGGCUCAACCGGAGGAUUGCCAUUGAAACUGUCAGACUUGAGUACAGUAGAGGUAGGCGGAAUUUAUGGUGUAGCGGUGAAAUGCAUAGAUACCAUAAAGAACACCGAUAGCGAAGGCAGCUUACUAUGCUGGUACAGACGCUGAGGCACGAAAGCGUGGGGAGCGAACAGGAUUAGAUACCCUGGUAGUCCACGCCGUAAACGACGCUCACUCGAUGUUGGCGAUACACAGUCAGCGUCCAAGCGAAAGCGUUAAGUGAGCCACCUGGGGAGUACGCUGGCAACAGUG
rnacentral:rRNA from 1 species